rnacentral:tRNA from 1 species
GGGAAUGUAGCUCAGUGCUAGAGUACUUGCCUAGUAUGCAAGAGGCUGAGUUCAAUCCCU